AUUGAACGCUGGCGGCAGGCCUAACACAUGCAAGUCGAACGGCAGCACAGAAGAGCUUGCUCUUUGGGUGGCGAGUGGCGGACGGGUGAGUAAUGUCUGGGAAACUGCCCGAUGGAGGGGGAUAACUACUGGAAACGGUAGCUAAUACCGCAUAACGUCGCGAGACCAAAGUGGGGGACCUUCGGGCCUCCCACCAUCGGAUGUGCCCAGAUGGGAUUAGCUAGUAGGUGGGGUAAUGGCUAACCUAGGCGACGAUCCCUAGCUGGUCAGAGAGGAUGACCAGCCACACUGGAACUGAGACACGGUCCAGACUCCUACGGGAGGCAGCAGUGGGGAAUAUUGCACAAUGGGCGCAAGCCUGAUGCAGCCAUGCCGCGUGUAUGAAGAAGGCCUUCGGGUUGUAAAGUACUUUCAGCGGGGAGGAAGGCGGUGAGGUUAAUAACCUUGCCGAUUGACGUUACCCGCAGAAGAAGCACCGGCUAACUCCGUGCCAGCCGCCGCCGUAA
rnacentral:rRNA from 1 species